rnacentral:rRNA from 1 species
CCUACGGGUGGCUGCAGUCGAGAAUCAUUCACAAUGGGCGAAACCCUGAUGGUGCAACGCCGCGUGAGGGAAUGAAGGUCUUCGGAUUGUAAACCCCUGUCAUGUGGGAGCAAAUUAAAAAGAUAAUACCACAGGAGAAAGCGACGGCUAACUCUGUGCCAGCAGCCGCGGAAAUACAAAGGUCUCAAGCGUUGUUCGGAAUCACUGGGCGUAAAGGGUGCGUAGGCUGUUGCGUAAGUCGUGUGUGAAAGGCGCGGGCUCAACCCGCGGACGGCACAUGAUCCUGCGAGACUAGAGGAAAGGAGGGGGAAGUGGAAUUCUUGGUGUAGCAGUGAAAUGCGUAGAUAUCGAGAGGAACACUCGUGGCGAAGGCGGGUUCCUGGACAUUAACUGACGCUGAGGCACGAAGGCCAGGGGAGCGAAAGGGAUUAGAUACCCUAGUAGUC